rnacentral:rRNA from 1 species
UUUGAUCCUGGCUCAGGAUGAACGCUAGCGGCAGGCUUAAUACAUGCAAGUCGAGGGGUAACAGGUCCUUCGGGAUGCUGACGACCGGCAAACGGGUGAGUAACGCGUAUGCAAUCUACCUCUAACAGGGGGCACAACUUCGGGAAACUGGAGCUAAUUCCCCAUAAUACUAUGAAGUCGCAUGGCUUUAUAAUUAAAAUUCCGAUGGUUAGAGAUGAGCGUGCGUUCGAUUAGAUAGUUGGCGGGGUAACGGCCCACCAAGUCGACGAUCGAUAGCUGAUGUGAGAGCAUGAUCAGCCACACGGGCACUGAGACACGGGCCCGACUCCUACGGGAGGCAGCAGUAGGGAAUAUUGGGCAAUGGAGGAAACUCUGACCCAGCCAUGCCGCGUGAAGGAUGAAGGUCCUACGGAUUGUAAACUUCUUUUAUUAGGGAAGAAACGUCUCGAUUCAUCGGGAUUUGACGGUACCUAAGGAAUAAGCACCGGCUAACUCCGUG